rnacentral:rRNA from 1 species
AUUGAACGCUGGCGGCAGGCCUAACAAAUGCAAGUCGAGCGGAUGAAGGGAGCUUGCUCCUGGAUUCAGCGGCGGACGGGUGAGUAAUGCCUAGGAAUCUGCCUGGUAGUGGGGGAUAACGUCCGGAAACGGGCGCUAAUACCGCAUAAGUCCUGAGGGGGAAAGUGGGGGAUCUUCGGACCUCACGCUAUCAGAUGAGCCUAGGUCGGAUUAGCUAGUUGGUGGGGUAAAGGCCUACCAAGGCGACGAUACGUAACUGGUCUUAGUGAAUGAUCAGUCACACUGGAACUGAGACACGGUCCAGACUCCUACGGGAGGCAGCAGUGGGGAAUAUUGGACAAUGGGCGAAAGCCUGAUCCAGCCAUGCCGCGUGUGUGAAGAAGGUCUUCGGAUUUUAAAGCUCUUUAAGUUGGGAGGAAGGGCAGUAAGGUAAUACCUUGCUGUUUUGACGUUACCAACAGAAUAAGCACCGGCUAACUUCGUG